UCAUUUGGAUGACUUUGUCAGUAGGAAGGAUGGCUAACAUGCCUGUUAAACCUAGAUAAACGCGUAUUGAAGGAACCGGGGUAUGUUCGCCAUGUUGAACACCCUCACAAUGACGGGUACCAUACAAUGUUAGCGAGGACAAUGAUUGGGGGCUUGAGAUUUUCGAUAAAGAGGUGCUUGGAGGAGGCACACGUCCCAGGUUUGACUGUUUGGGCUAUGGUGAUCAUAAACCCCGGAUAACCGACUGAACAGGGUACUCUGGAGUAUGUGGCAGAAGGGGAAGCUACAUGUUGAUAUGUAAAAUUCCCUUCAUGUCACGUCUAGGAAUAACGGAGUUUUGGAGAUGAUGUGAUGGGUGAGAUUCACAAGGUGGCUUCUGUGACUCUUUGCCCCAACAUAAAUGGUGACUUGCGAUGGAUCCACCGAAGUAUAGAUCUGCGAUUGAGAUUUUUAUUGGACCACUGGGUGAGCAUUUGCAACAAAGAGCCAGGGAGUAAGCUGGUAGCAGACAAACAUAAUGCCCUGAACAUGAGUUUGUCCUUGCAUAAUUAUCCAUGUCUGAUGGUAGGAAGAGACAGGAUCAGAUCGCUCACCAGUGAUGAAGACGUGGUAGUACCGUAGUAGGGUGUGGUAGAUGAACAUGUCUUUAUUUUCUGAAUCGCUUUAUAUUAUAUGAUAUUGUAUUGACAAGUAGGAGGUGAUUUCCGAUGGGUGAUUCUAGAUUUUUGAGUGAAUACUAGCUACCAUGUUAUCCUAAGUGCUGUCAACUAUUCAAUUACAAAUAAAAACUCAAGAACGUACUUAGUCUACCACAAGUUGUGAUUUUUUUUAAACAUCGAUCCUAACAUUAAUUGCCUCAAAUUUAGUCUGAUACAUUUUCCUUAACGUG